GCCUCAUUUGCUGACCUUGGUAGAAAGUUUAUAGGAAAUGAAGAAGGAGACUGCGGUCAGAAAGACUUCUGCUACAUAUAUAAAGGAAAACGACGAAGAACAAGAUAGAAUGAAACAAACGAAGGAUUAUGAAUACUGGGAUGCCUAUGGGUAUGACUGAAGAAACUAUUUUAAACAUCUUGCCACCUGUUCUUAUAAAGGUUUUUAAUCUUACAACCCUUGAAAAUCAUGUUUAUUGAUGAUCUAUUCUAUGCCUUCAUUUAAAAGUUUUAAUUAUUUCAUCUUACAAGCACAAUUAAAAAUGUAAACUUUA